GAUGAACGCUGGCGGCGUGCCUAACACAUGCAAGUCGAACGAAGCAUCUUAUCUUGAUUUCUUCGGAUUGAUUGAUUUGAUGACUGAGUGGCGGACGGGUGAGUAACGCGUGGGUAACCUGCCUUAUACAGGGGGAUAACAGUUGGAAAUGACUGCUAAUACCGCAUAAGCGCACAGUAUCGCAUGAUACAGUGUGAAAAACUCCGGUGGUAUAAGAUGGACCCGCGUCUGAUUAGCUAGUUGGUGAGGUAAUGGCUCACCAAGGCGACGAUCAGUAGCCGGCCUGAGAGGGUGAACGGCCACAUUGGGACUGAGACACGGCCCAAACUCCUACGGGAGGCAGCAGUGGGGAAUAUUGCACAAUGGGGGAAACCCUGAUGCAGCGACGCCGCGUGAGCGAUGAAGUAUUUCGGUAUGUAAAGCUCUAUCAGCAGGGAAGAAAAUGACGGUACCUGACUAAGAAGCCCCGGCUAACUACGUGCCAGCAGCCGCAGUAAGAC
rnacentral:rRNA from 1 species